ACGUGAUACUGUCACUUUUUCCACUACACUCGUGCCAAAAGACAACAAGCCUUUACCUGUUUGUCAUUGGUCAACAGUAAAUUCCCCCCUUUAGUAUGAGAACUUUUGAUUGGCCAGCUCCAAUAAACCGCUUUCCCAUAGGCUAAGCAUGACGCGGGCCCUUAAAACGUGAAACAUAGCUAAAUCCCGGUGUAAAGUAGCUAACCUCUGUCCAAGUGCUCCGAACACAGUCGGUAUGUCUGCGACUGAUAUGUCCGGUGUGCUGGAUAUCCUUCGGUUAUUGUACCGGCACACGCAGACACUGGAGGAGUUUUCGGACAGCAUCGUGUUCAGAGAGGGACAGAAAGCAGCUCUCAUUGAGCAGACAGAUACAAACCGUUUCAAAUCGUUCGUUAGGAGUGUUUUUGUGUGCUUUGACAAGGAGCUACAGAAGGUAGCGAGCUGCAAACAGAUCUGCAGUCUGCCUGAACUACUGGCGUUUGUUCUCAACACUCUAAAAAGAAAAAGAAAAAGGAAUGUCUUGGCACAUGGGUAUAAUUUUCAGACGCUGGCUCAGGAGGAUCGGGAUGCAGAUUUCCUCAAAUUCCAAGGCGAUGUAACACAGAGUGCUGCCUACAUCCACGGCAGUGACCUGUGGAAAAAAGUCAUAACGCGUCUGGGCACAGACAUCACGCAGUAUCUCCUGGAGAGCUGCUCUGUGUUUGUGGCAGUUCCUCCUUCGUGUGCUUUCCAGGUGUGCGGCCCUCCAGUCUAUGACAGGGUGUCCAUGACCACGGCCUCUUGUGGGUUUUUUCUCCAGCCGCGAGUCAGGAAACCUAAUCGUACCAAGACUGAGAGCUGUCGAGGGUCAGUGAGUUUGAAACAGAAACGCACAGUUGUGACUCCUGCAAGCAAGAAGAUGAAAAGAAGGAAUAAAGGAGGGACAAAGGGGAAAAGAAAACGGGAAACUGGAGAAGAGGAGGAGGUGGCAGUUUGUUCAAGAAAGAGGAGGCGAGUAGCAUCUGUAGAACAUCAACAGGCGAUCCAACAAGUUGGCUCUGAAAAGGAAGGACAGGCCGUGGCUGUGGAAUCAGCACCACCUACAGCUUUCAAACAGCCUGUUGAAAUGCCAACAUUUGUACUUCCCUUGGAGGGUGGUCCUAGUUGGAGAACAGGGAUUUUCCCCCCUUUACCACCCUCGCAAUGUUUUAUCCGUACCCUGGGAUUCCUGUAUGGGGGCAGGGGCAUGCGUGGCUUUCUUCUUAACAGGAGGAAAAAGACUGCUCAUGGAUCCAGAAGGCUUCAAGGACAAGAUCUGGUAAGAAUAGUCUUCUUCGAGGGACUAGCGCAUUUGAAUGGAGUAGAGAGGAAGCCUAAAAAACUCCCCCAGCGGUUCUUUGGCUUGGUCCCCCUGUUUAGGCAGCUCUUACAACAACACAGGAGAUGUCCCUACACCAGAAUACUACAGAGGUUAUGUCCAUCAAUGGAGGAGAGCAAUGCAGGACAGGGAGAACUAAACUCACUCUUACCUCAGCACUGUGCACCGCACAGGGUUUACCUGUUUGUCCGGGAAUGCCUCUCUUCUGUGAUCCCACAAGAACUGUGGGGCUCUGAUCAAAACCGGCUGCAUUUCUUUGCCAGGGUCAGGACUUUCUUGCAAAGUGGCAAGUUUGAGAGGCUCUCACUGGCUGAACUGAUGUGGAAGAUAAAGGUGAAUGACUGUGAUUGGUUGAAGAGGAGUAAAACAGGCCGUUUUCCACCCAGCGAGCUUGCGUAUCGGACACAGGUCCUGGGUCAGUUCUUGGCUUGGCUUCUGGAUGGAUAUGUUACAGGCCUUGUGAGAGCCUGUUUCUAUGCAACAGAGAGUAUUGGGCAGAAGAACGCCAUCAGGUUCUACAGGCAGGAAGUCUGGACCAAACUGCAAGAAUUGGCCUUCAGAGGUCACCUUUCCAAAGGCCAGAUGGAGGAGCUGACUCCAGCUCAGGUGGCAUCCCUGCCCAAAGGCACCGUCAUCUCCCGCCUUCGCUUCAUUCCCAAGACUGAUGGCAUGAGGCCCAUCACACGAGUCAUAGGAGCAGAUGCCAAAACAAGGCUCUACCGAGGUCGUGUCAGGGACUUGCUGGAUAUGCUGCGGGCCUGUGUGCGUGCCACUCCAUCACUACUGGGAUCCACAGUGUGGGGGAUGACUGACAUCCACAAAGUUUUGUGCUCUUUGGCACCAGCGCAGAAAGAAAAACCACAACCCCUCUAUUUUGUUAAGAUGGACGUGAGUGGAGCCUAUGAGAGUUUGCCGCAUGACAAACUCAUAGAGGUGAUUGGCCAAGCCCUGUCACCUGUCCACGAUGAACUCUUUACCAUCCGCCGCUAUGCCAAGAUCUGGGCAGACUCACACGAAGGCCUGAAAAAGGCCUUUGUCAGACAGGCAGAUUUCCUGGAGGAUAACAUAGGAUCCACCAACAUGAAGGGCUUUUCGACGUCAUUGCAGAGAAAAGGCAAAGUUCAUCACGCCAUCCUGGUUGAACAGCACUUUUGCUCAGAUCUUCAUGGCAGAGAGGCAUUGCAGUUCUUUACCCAAAUGCUAACUGGGAGUGUUGUUCAGUAUGGGAAAAAGACGUACCGUCAGUUCCGGGGGAUUCCUCAGGGAUCGGUUGUAUCUAGUUUGCUCUGCUGCCUUUGCUACGGCCACAUGGAGAAUCUCCUGUUUAAAGAUAUUCCAGGACACAAAGGGUGUUUGAUGAGACUGGUGGAUGACUUCCUUCUAAUUACACCAGACCAACAUGAAGCACAAGCUUUUCUCAAGAUCUUGCUGGCCGGUGUGCCACAGUAUGGUCUGGCAGUCAACCCGCAGAAGGUGGUUUUGAACUUUCAGGUAUCGGGAAGCGCGGCUUCCUGUCCCGACAUUCGCAUGCUGCCCCCUCGCUGCCUCUUCCCCUGGUGUGGACUGCUGCUGGACACCCACACGCUGGACGUCUAUAAAGACUAUUCCAGCUAUGCUGGACUGUCUCUGCGCUACAGCCUUACUCUGGGUUCAUCCCACUCUGCAGGACAGCAGAUGAAAAGGAAACUAAUGGCUAUCCUCAGGCUCAAGUGUCAUGCCCUGUUCUUUGACUUGAAGACUAAUUCUCUUGAAGCGGUCUACAAGAACAUGUACAAGAUGGUGCUGCUGCAUGCGUACAGAUUUCACGUCUGUGCCCAAAGUUUGCCCUUUGGUCAGACCGUUUCCAAGAACCCCGUCUUCUUUCUGCAGCUGAUAUGGGAGAUGGCCCAGUACUGCAACAAGCUCAUCAGACGCAGCAACAAAGGACUGAUUUUAGGUGAUAAGGCCCAGACGGGGAUUGUGCAGUACGAAGCAGUGGAGCUGCUUUUCUGUCUGUGCUUCUUGCUGGUGCUGUCACAACACCGUCUUCUCUAUAAAGAUCUGCUCGCACACCUGCACAAACGAAAGCGCAGUCUGGAGCGGCGUCUGGGGGACCUGAGGCUGGCCAGGGUGCGGCAGGCCGCUAACCCCAGGACUCCAGUCGACUUCUUGGCCAUUCAGACGUAAAUUACUAUUCCUAGUCCCAGUUUCCAACAUGACCGCAGAACAAUACUCGGAGAUUAAAGCAGCAUUUUUACUCUCCACAGUCCUUAAGCCCUUUGAGUCUUCUGUUCCUGUGUGUCAGUCACGAAGGCGUCGUUGUCGUAGGGAUUCAACUCCAUCCCAACCGAGGACUUUCUGAAUCUGCCACGAAGCAGCUGGUAGAGGGCCACCAGAGGAAUGGAAAUCACAGGCACCACGCAGAGGAGGAUGAUUAUGGCAAAGACCCAGUCUGGAUAAAGCUUCUCUUCAGUUUCAGGGAAUUUUUCCUGAAAAGAAAGAUCGAGGUGGAAACAAUGAAGGACAUUUAUUUAUUUAAUUAUUAAAUAUGGUUUAAAAUUGGUAAAAUGCGCUAAUUUUCUUUCUUCGGGUUAAAUAGAGCGCAACAACCAGCAAGCAGGCAAUUGGCUUAGCUUGACUAAUUCAAUUCAUUUUUUAUAUUGAUUUACUUUAUUUAUUUAAAUUCUAUUUUUUAUUGCUGUGUCCAGCACUUUGGUCAGUGGUUGCUGUUUUAGUGCUUUAGGGCUAACUUAAGGUUAUCGAAACCAACCAAGAGAUAUUUCAGGCUCAUAAAAUCCCAUAAAGGACUGAGCUGUCAUUUUAUCCCGCCGGUCUAUAUUUAUUACUCGACAUAUUUGUUAAAAUGUAGGUUUUGAUAGACAUUUUUAAACUCUUGCUUGUUUGUUAACAGACAUUACAGAUAGUCGCUUCUCAGGUAAAAGUCUGGCUGCUGGAUUCAUUUCAGAAGUCAGUUUGAUUUUUAGUAGCAUCUUCCUUCAGGAUAACUCGCUAUGACUCACAGCUCAGAUCAUUUCAAAGUGGUUUAUUGAUCAUAACAAUGAGUUCACUGUACUCAAAUUAUCUCCACAAUUAAAAGAUCUCAAUCCAGUAAUGUACCUUUGGGAUGUGAUGGAACAGAAAAUUGGAGCAGUUCUGAAGAUAAAUAGAGGACCGAACAAACUGCACCUAAUAAAAUCUUGACUUAUGAGUAGAUUCAUUCUUCAAUUCUUGGCUUUCCUGCUUACAUAAUCUGGGUUCCAUGCUUGAUAGGUGGGACGUGUCUGUGCCUGGACAACCACAUAGGCAACAAACACCACCAGGAGCAG